rnacentral:rRNA from 1 species
GACGAACGCUGGCGGCGUGCUUAACACAUGCAAGUCGAACGGGAGUAUUGAAGAAGCUUGCUUUAGAGAUACUUUAGUGGCGGACGGGUGAGUAACGCGUGAGGAGCUGUCCGAUGCAGGGGGACAACAGUUGGAAACGACUGCUAAUACACCAUAAGCCGAGAGGUAAAAGGAUUUAUCAGGCAAUGGAGGUACUCGCGUCCUAUCAGCUAGUAGGUGAGGUAACGGCUCACCUAGGCGAAGACGGGUAGCCGGCCUGAGAGGGCGAACGGCCACACUGGAACUGAGAUACGGUCCAGACGCCUACGGGAGGCAGCAGUGGGGAAUAUUGGGCAAUGGGGGGAACCCUGACCCAGCGACGCCGCGUGGGUGAAGAAAUCCUUCGGGAUGUAAAGCCCUGUUGUAUGGGAAGAGCGGAAGACGGUACCAUACGAGGAAGCCCCGGCAAACUACGUGCCAGCCGCCGCGGUAA